UACGUAGGGGGCAAGCGUUGUCCGGAAUCAUUGGGCGUAAAGAGCGCGUAGGCGGUCCGGUAAGUCCGCUCUGAAAGUCCGGGGCUCAACCCCGGGAGGCGGGCGGAUACUGUCGGGCUAGAGUCCGGAAGAGGCGAGUGGAAUUCCUGGUGUAGCGGUGAAAAUGCGCAGAGUAUCAGGAGGAACACCGAUGGCGAAGGCAGCUCGCUGGGACGGUACUGACGCUGAGGCGCGAAAGCGUGGGGAGCAAACAGG
rnacentral:rRNA from 1 species